CCUACGGGAGGCAGCAGUAGGGAAUUUUGGGCAAUGGGGGAAACCCUGACCCAGCAACGCCGCGUGAGUGAAGAAGGCCUUCGGGUUGUAAAGCUCUGUCAGGUGGGAAGAAGAAAGCCCGGGUAACGCCGGGCCUUGACCACCACCAAAGGAAGCACCGGCUAACUCCGUGCCAGCAGCCGCGGUAAUACGGAGGGUGCAAGCGUUGUCCGGAAUUAUUGGGCGUAAAGGGCGUGUAGGCGGCCCGACAAGUCUGAUGUGAAAGCCCCCGGCUAAACCGGGGAAGUGCAUUAGAAACUGUUGGGCUUGAGUACGGGAGAGGAAGGUGAAAUUCCCAGUGUAGCGGUGAAAUGCGUAGAUAUUGGGAGGAACACCGUUUGCGAAGGCGGCCUUCGGGACCGUCACUGACGCUGAGACGCGAAAGCGUGGGGAGCAAACAGGAUUAGAUCCCUUG
rnacentral:rRNA from 1 species